rnacentral:rRNA from 1 species
AUGGCAGCACCGCCGCCGGCGAUCCCGGACGACCUCGUCGAAGAGAUCCUCCUCCGCCUCCCGCCCGACCACCCCGCAUUCCUCCUCCGCGCCUCCAUUGUCUGCAAGGACUGGGCCGGCAUCGUCUCUCGCCCGCCCUUCCGCCGCCGCCUCCACGACCUCCACCGGACACCACCCCUCCUCGGCUUCCUCCGCCGCCUCCACGAGCUCCACCGGACACCACCCGUCCCCGGCUUCCUCCGCUGCUUAGUCCGCGGCCUCGUCCCCCACUUCAUCCCCACCACCGCCUCGUCCUUCUCUCCCGCCGUCCCGGACUGGCACUCCUGGCGGGCCCAGGACUGCCGCCAUGGCCGCGCCCUCUUCAUCUCCACGGGAGAGGGUACUCUGGAACUCCUCCUGUGGGAGCCAACCACGGGCGCCCAGCAGCGCGUGCCGAUGCCCGCGGCGUUCGGGAGCAGGAACUACUUCCCGAUGGCGGCUGUGUUGUGCGCAGCGGAUGGGUGCGACCAUCGCGACUGUCUCGGGGGUCCUUUCCGAGUCGUCUUCUCCUUCUCAGACGACCCCGAUGAGGAGGAUUUUGACCCAGAGGAGGAGGAGGAGGAGGAGGAGGAGUGGGUUAGGUCGCUGACCGUAUACUCGUCCGAGACUGGCACCUGGGGAGAGCUGACCUCGGUGCUCAGCAAGUUCCAAAUUAACUACCAACAAUAUUCCAGCCUGCUCGUUGGCAGCUCUUUGCUCUACUUCAGGGGCACGCCCGAAUAUAAGUCAAUCACGGAGUAUGACAUGGCAAGGCACACUUUGACCGUAUUCGAGCCACCAGGCGACUGCUCCGAAGUCGGAUGUAACCUCAUGCCGAUGGAGGAUGGCGGAUUGGGAGUUAUCGGAGGCUUGUUCGAUCAGCAUGUCAAAUUGUGGACAAGGGAGGCGGGUGACGGCACUGAUGCACGAUGGGUGCUGAGCCGGGAAAUCUGCUUGGACAAUUUGCUCCCAAUUAGUAGUGCUCCUAGUGACGCGCGCCGUGGAGUGGGGCGAGUGGUGAGGUUUGUUGAGGGAGCAGAUGUCAUUCUCGUUAGCACGGAUGCUGGCCUGUUCACAGUUGAGCUACAAUCAGAGCAUGCGAGGAAGGUCUGCAAUUACGGUGGCUUCGAUGAUUUGAUUCCAGUUGUCGGUUUCUACACUCCUGUGCCCAGAGGUGAGCACCAGAAUCUUCUGGCAUUGAAGCCCAAUAAGGAAGCAGGCGGUGAGGAGGAGAAAACGGUAGAUCAGGCGCAGCUGCUGUUCGACAAGGGGUCCAAUGCAAUCAAGGAGGGGACUUUGUCAACACCUUCGAAAGCAUCAGCCAUGGCCACAAUAUGA